GGACGCACUCUGAUCCAGCCAUGCCGCGUGUGUGAUGACUGCCUUAUGGUUUGUAAACUGUUUUUAUACGGGAGAAAACACUCCCUCGUGAGGGAGCUUGACGGGACUGUACCAAUAAAGAUCGCCUAACUCCACACCAGCACCCGCGGUAAUACAAUACA
rnacentral:rRNA from 1 species